rnacentral:rRNA from 1 species
GUGCACCAGGCGAGAAACCUCCCCAAUGCCCGAAAGGGUGAGGGGGUCACCCCGAGUGCCACCCUCGUGGUGGCUUUUGCGGGAUCUAAAAAGCCCCGCGAAUAAGGGGAGGGCAAGACGGGUGUCAGCCGCCGCGGUAAUACCCGCUCCCCGAGUGGUGGGGACUAUUACUGGGCUUGAAGCGUCCGUAGCCGGCUGGGUGUGUCCCCCGUUAAAUCCACGGGCCUAACCCGUGGGCUGCGGGGGAUACUACCUGGCUUGGGGGUGGGAGAGGGCGGCGGUAUUCCCGGGGUAGGGGUAAAAUCCUCUGAUCCCCGGGAGGACCACCAGUGGCGAAGGCGGCCGCCCAGAACACGCCCGACGGUGAGGGACGAAAGCUGGGGGAGCAAACGGGGAUUAGAUACCCGUGUAGU